UACGAAGGGGGCUAGCGUUGCUCGGAAUCACUGGGCGUAAAGCGCACGUAGGCGGCUUCUUAAGUCAGGGGUGAAAUCCUGGAGCUCAACUCCAGAACUGCCUUUGAUACUGAGAGCUUGAGUCCGGGAGAGGUGAGUGGAACUGCGAGUGUAGAGGUGAAAAUUCGUAGAUAUUCGCAAGAACACCAGUGGCGAAGGCGGCUCACUGGCCCGGUACUGACGCUGAGGUGCGAAAGCGUGGGAGCAAACAGG
rnacentral:rRNA from 1 species